UACGUAGGGCGCAAGCGUUAUCCGGAAUUAUUGGGCGUAAAGAGCUCGUAGGCGGUUUGUCGCGUCUGCCGUGAAAGUCCGGGGCUCAACUCCGGAUCUGCGGUGGGUACGGGCAGACUAGAGUGAUGUAGGGGAGACUGGAAUUCCUGGUGUAGCGGUGAAAUGCGCAGAUAUCAGGAGGAACACCGAUGGCGAAGGCAGGUCUCUGG
rnacentral:rRNA from 1 species